CCUUAGGGUCGUAAAGCUCUUUCACCUGUGAUGAUAAUGACUGUAUCAGGUAAAGAAACCCCGGCUAACUCCGUGCCAGCCGCCGCGGUAAUACGGAGGGGGUUAGCGUUGUUCGGAAUUACUGGGCGUAAAGCGCGCGUCGCGCACAUUUAAGUCAGAGGUGAAAUCCCAGGGCUCAACCCUGGAACUGCCUUUGAUACUGGGUGUCUUGACUUCA
rnacentral:rRNA from 1 species